CCUACGGGAGGCAGCAGUGAGGAAUAUUGGUCAAUGGCCGAGAGGCUGAACCAGCCAAGUCGCGUGAGGGAUGACGGCCCUACGGGUUGUAAACCUCUUUUGUCGGGGAGUAAAGCGAGUCACGUGUGACACAUUGAGAGUACCCGAAGAAAAAGCAUCGGCUAACUCCGUGCCAGCAGCCGCGGUAAUACGGAGGAUGCGAGCGUUAUCCGGAUUUAUUGGGUUAAAGGGGUGCGCAGGCGGAGGUGUAAGUCAGCGGUAAAAUUGCGGGGCUAAACCCCGAACUGCCGUUGAAACUGCAUCCCUGGAGUGCGCGAGAAGUAUGCGGAAUGCGUGGUGUAGCAGUGAAAUGCAUAGAUAUCA
rnacentral:rRNA from 1 species